rnacentral:rRNA from 1 species
UUGAAAGGGAAACGAUUGAAGUCAGUCGUACCGACGGAAAAUCAGCUCUUCGAGUGCGAACUUGUGGGCGUACGUGAGCUUUAACCGGCCUCGUUGUUUGCGAUGCUUGUGCUUUUUGGGUGUACUUUUUCGUAUGGUUGGCCAACGUCAGUCUCGGUUACCAUAAAAUGAUUGGAGGAAUGUAGCUUCGAUCUUGUAUUGAAGUGUUAUAGCCUCUGGUAGAUGUGGUGAACGAAACUGAGGAUUGCAACGAAUACCCUUCGGGCUAUCCGUCUGACCUCUGAAAGUUGCUUGGGUGCUGAAAGCUUGCUUAUGGUUAUCUAAGUUAACGGUCAAUAGGUUAGAACGUGAUUACAUUCGUUAAGGAUGUUGACGUA